CUGGCCUUGAUCUUGAGGUGAUCUUCCUGCCUCAGCCUACUGAGUGCUGGGAUUACAGGCAUGCACCACUAUACCUGGCAAGCCACUACUCAUUAUGUAGCCCAUACUGGCUUUGAACUUGUACUCCUGAUGCCUCAGGUUCCCAAGAGCUGGUAUUACAGACACUUCCAGAUGUACCCUGUUCUGAGAAGACUUGGAUCAUAGUACAGCCUGUCCUGUGUCAAAUAGGUGAACACGACUUCUGCUAAGACUUGUGCUUGAGGGUCUGUGCUGUAUGGCCUCACUUAAUAAAAUUUGUAUUAGCACACAUCACUGAGCAAAUGACUCCCUUUAUUUAUAUGACACAUGGAGACUAGCAAUAGGUGACACAAGUAUGGACUACUUUCGCUUCAGUGAAGUUACACUGUUGAUUGAUUGACUGAUUUUUGGACACAGGGUGUCACUAUGUAGCC